UGUGUGAUGAUGAGACGCGCAGGGGUACAGACCUCAGCUGGUAAUGGGAGCUGAGUGCUGCUGAGACUCUGAUCAGAGGACGAGUGGUUCACUGACAGACGACAGCAGCAUGAGACAGACGCCACACUGAACACA